UACGUAGGGUGCAAGCGUUAAUCGGAAUUACUGGGCGUAAAGCGUGCGCAGGCGGCUUUGCAAGACAGAUGUGAAAUCCCCGGGCUUAACCUGGGAACUGCAUUUGUGACUGCAUGGCUGGAGUGCGGCAGAGGGGGAUGGAAUUCCGCGUGUAGCAGUGAAAUGCGUAGAGAUCUGGAAGAACACCAAAGGCGAAGGCAGCGUCCUGGGAAGCAUCUGACGCUCAGGUGCGAAAGCUAGGGGAGCGAACGGG
rnacentral:rRNA from 1 species